AUGUUUGUUCUUGUUUAUGUUGAUGACAUAAUUGUUGCUAGUUCCAGUUCAGAUGCCACCACUUGUUUUCUUCAAGAUCUUAACACGGAAUUUGCUCUAAAGGAUUUGGGCAAUCUUCCUUAUUUCCUUGGUAUAGAGGUAAAACAGAUAAAAGAUGGAAUACUUCUAACACAGGAGAAAUACACCACAGAUAUUCUCAGAAAAGUGGGGCUAGAACAUUGCAAGCCUGUAAGUACACCACUAUCAACUUCAGAAAAACUUACAGUUGAGGUAGGCGAAGCUCUUGGUCUUGAGGAUGCCACAAAGUACAGAAGUGUUGUUGGUGCUUUGCAGUAUUUGACUUUAACUCGUCCAGAUAUUUCUUAUUCUGUUAACAAAGUGUGUCAAUACUUGCAUGCACCUACUACAGCUCAUUGGACCGCACAAAAGAAUUGUGAGGUAUCUAAAAUUUACAAUGGGGUUUGGGAUCAAAAUCAUUAA
rnacentral:rRNA from 1 species